rnacentral:rRNA from 1 species
UACAGAGGGGGCAAGCGUUGUUCGGAAUUACUGGGCGUAAAGGGCGCGUAGGCGGCCUGCUAAGUCGAACGUGAAAUCCCUGGGCUCAACCCAGGAACUGCGUCCGAGACUGGUUGGCUUGAAUCCGGGAGAGGGGUGUGGAAUUCCAGGUGUAGCGGUGAAAUGCGUAGAUAUCUGGAGGAACACCGGUGGCGAAGGCGGCAUCCUGGACCGGUAUUGACGCUGAGGCGCGAAAGCCAGGGGAGCAAACGGG